AUCGUUCGUUCGGUAACAAGUCAAACGUAACACUAAAAGCACGAACUGUGCGACAUUACUGCCUGUUGACUGACUGCUGGUUUUACUCCUGCCGCUGCUGCUGCUGGUUGCUCGCGAUCAUACUCGUCGCAACCCAGAGUAGGCUCAGAACGUUACUUCAAAAAUCAUCGGAAUACUACAAGUGUUGGAUAGUUUUUAAAUCGUCCAGAUAUGAUUAUCUCGAUAGAAGAAUCUUCUACAAAGCAAAAAUUAAAAAAAAAAAAAAGAAAGGAAAACGUUGCGAGCUACUAUGAAGAAAAAAAAUAAUCAUUUAUUUCUUAAAUUUUUAAAAAAGAAAGAAUAUCGGCUCAUUUAAUCUGCUAACUCGAAAGAUAUAUGAACAUGAUGAAUGUGAAUAUAAGAGGGAAUUUAUUUUAAUUUAAAAUCAAAUGCUAUAUGCUGAGAAAACGAGUAUCUUAGGAAUAAAUUAAUGCGAAGAAGAAUCGAAAGUCGCUGUCCUAUACUUAAUAAACAAAAUAAACAAUUCAUUUGUUCUUUAAACAUGAGAGAAAUUAAAUCUUCAUGACAAGUUAAUCUUAUAUUAAUCAAUUUUCUUUUUUUUUCGAAUUCGACAUGAAACACUUUACGUAUUUCAAACGGACAAAAGUUAUUAAUUUUUCUGUUUUUUUUUUUCCUUAUAUAGAAUAUCUCGUUAUAAAAAUGUAGGUUAUCAAAAAAAAAAAAAAAAAAAAAAAAACAUCUUAAAAUGACAUCGAAAUUAUACAUUAAAUAAAAAACGAUAAAUGCUAUAUUAUAUCUAUCUUAAAAUCGGAUAAACUCUUGUUUGAACAAUUUUUUUCAUACAUCUCACGUUUCCGAGGUAUUAAAAAUUUUAACAUUAUAUUUUAAACAACCCUAUAUAUGUAUAUACUAUAAUAUCGUUAUACUUGUAACUUCAAUUUUUUCUCAGUUAAUAAAAUUUAACAAUCGUCAUCGAAUGAUUGAAAAUCAUUUAAUAAUAUAAGAAAUAAGUUUUCGAAAACAAGCUAUAUGUUAAUAAGACAACAACUUGAACAGAUCAUCGUACAAAAUCGAUCACAGGAAUAAGAUAUCACAAUCGAGGUCACCCGGUAUCGAUACGUUUAUGUAUGUAAGUCGUUGGUUUCUUCCAUUGCUCCUGAGACUUUCCAACCUGAUUAAUAUAUAAAUGGACAUAAACAAUUCACAUCAACGAAACCUUGAAAUUAUAAAAGAAAAAAAAAAGAUUAACAAAAAAAGAAAAGAAACGUUCAAAAUAAUAA